UACAGAGGGUGCAAGCGUUUAAUCGGAAUUACUGGGCGUAAAGCGUGCGUAGACGGUUAUUUAAGUCAGGUGUGAAAGCCCCGGGCUCAACCUGGGAAUUGCAUUUGAGACUGAAUAGCUAGGGUGCGGAAGAGGGAAGCGGAAUUUCCGGUGUAGCGGUGAAAUGCGUAGAUAUCGGAAGGAACACCAGUGGCGAAAGCGGCUUCCUGGUCCAGCACCGACGUUCAGGCACGAAAGCGUGGGGAGCAAACAGG
rnacentral:rRNA from 1 species